rnacentral:rRNA from 1 species
UACAGAGGUCUCAAGCGUUGUUCGGAUUCAUUGGGCGUAAAGGGUGUGUAGGCGGUGCUCUAAGUUCGGUGUGAAAUCUCCCGGCUCAACUGGGAGGGUGCGCCGAAAACUGGGGUGCUGGAGCGCGGGAGAGGAAAGCGGAAUUCCUGGUGUAGCGGUGAAAUGCGUAGAUAUCAGGAGGAACACCGGCGGUGUAGACGGCUUUCUGGACCGUAGCUGACGCUGAGACACGAAAGCGUGGGUAGCAAACAGG